rnacentral:rRNA from 1 species
GAUGAACGCUGGCGGCGUGCCUAAUACAUGCAAGUCGAGCGAACAGACGAGGAGCUUGCUCCUCUGACGUUAGCGGCGGACGGGUGAGUAACACGUGGAUAACCUACCUAUAAGACUGGGAUAACUUCGGGAAACCGGAGCUAAUACCGGAUAACAUGUUGAACCGCAUGGUUCAACAGUGAAAGACGGUCUUGCUGUCACUUAUAGAUGGAUCCGCGCCGCAUUAGCUAGUUGGUAAGGAACGGCUUACCAAGGCAACGAUGCGUAGCCGACCUGAGAGGGUGAUCGGCCACACUGGAACUGAGACACGGUCCAGACUCCUACGGGAGGCAGCAGUAGGGAAUCUUCCGCAAAGGGCGAAAGCCUGACGGAGCAACGCCGCGUGAGUGAAGAAGGUCUUCGGAUCGUAAAACUCUGUUAUUAGGGAAGAACAAAUGUGUAAGUAACUAUGCACGUCUUGACGGUACCUAAUCAGAAAGCCACGGCUAACUACGUG